rnacentral:tRNA from 1 species
UAGCUCAAUCGGUAAAGAAUCUGCCUGCAAUGCAGAAGACCUGGGUUCAAUUCCUGG